GAUGAACGCUGGCGGCGUGCCUAAUACAUGCAAGUCGAGCGAACAGACGAUGAGCUUGCUCCUCUGACGUUAGCGGCGGACGGGUGAGUAACACGUGGAUAACCUACCUAUAAGACUGGGAUAACUUCGGGAAACCGGUGCUAAUACCGGAUAAUAUAUUGAACCGCAUGGUUCAAUAGUGAAAGACGGUUUUGCUGUCACUUAUAGAUGGAUCCGCGCCGCAUUAGCUAGUUGGUAAGGUAACGGCUUACCAAGGCAACGAUGCGUAGCCGACCUGAGAGGGUGAUCGGCCACACUGGAACUGAGACACGGUCCAGACUCCUACGGGAGGCAGCAGUAGGGAAUCUUCCGCAAUGGGCGAAAGCCUGACGGAGCAACGCCGCGUGAGUGAUGAAGGUCUUCGGAUCGUAAAACUCUGUUAUUAGGGAAGAACAAAUGUGUAAGUAACUAUGCACGUCCUGACGGUACCUAAUCAGAAAGCCACGGCUAACUACGUG
rnacentral:rRNA from 1 species